rnacentral:rRNA from 1 species
UACGAAGGGAGCUAGCGUUGUUCGGAAUCACUGGGCGUAAAGCGCACGUAGGCGGAUGUGUCAGUCAGGGGUGAAAUCCCGGAGCUCAACUUCGGAACUGCCCUUGAUACAGCACGUCUUGAGUCCGGAAGAGGUGGGUGGAAUUCCUAGUGUAGAGGUGAAAUUCGUAGAUAUUAGGAAGAACACCGGUGGCGAAGGCGGCCCACUGGUCCGGUACUGACGCUGAGACGCGAAGCGUGGGGAGCGAACAGG